GGGGGUGACUGGCUUUGACAGCGUGAAGAAGUGGUGUGUAAGCAUGCAGAGCAAUGAUGGCUACGCUCUAUAAUCUGGGACAUCACAAUUUUAAAUGGCGAAAAUAACUACGCUCUUGCUGCUUAAUCGAAGUACAGUAGAUUAGCUUAAUCUCUGCCACAGUGGCGGAGACAAGACAUCGCCCGAUUGUCCUUUUUCCGAGACGGAUCGACAUGGCGGUGCAGAUAAAUCGGGAAUAGGAAGUCAAGAGCCUUGCGCGACUUCCGAAAAUUUAAAGGCUAAGGCAACGGUUGGUAGUCUUGAUCCUGCCGGUGCCCUACAAUCAAGUCAGGACUAAGCAUGUAGAAAGCACAUUAGUUCCGCGUUUGGACGAGGGUUCAAUCCCCUCCACCUCCACAA
rnacentral:tmRNA from 2 species